rnacentral:rRNA from 1 species
UACGUAUGGAGCAAGCGUUAUCCGGAUUUACUGGGUGUAAAGGGAGAGUAGGUGGUCAUACAAGUCUGAAGUGAAAACCCAGGGCUCAACCGUGGGAAUGCUUUGGAAACUGAAUGACUAGAGUGCAGGAGAGGCAAGUGGAAUUUCUAGUGUAGCGGUGAAAUGCGUAGAUAUUAGGAGGAACACCAGUGGCGAAGGCGGCUUGCUGGACUGUAACUGACACUGAGGCUCGAAAGCGUGGGGAGCAA